rnacentral:lncRNA from 1 species
UGGCCAAAGACUUUCAUAAUCAUCGACCUAUGAAAUCACAUAGGAUGUCCUCUCUCCUUAUUAUCACUCACAACCUCUAUACACACUUCACCACAUCCAGAACACCCUACAUAAGAAUCAAAGAAUCAAGUUAGGAAGUGAACUAAAAUAUGGAUUCAUGUACACAAAGUACCAUGGCAAUCUCAAGUCAAAGGAUUACUUACACAACUCUCACUAGAGAAUGAUCAGCUGACAUAUAAAUAAAACUCUAUCAGAUGUUCUCUCUUAGGUCUAUUCAGUGAAUUCAUUCUCUAAUAAGUAUCCACAUCCUUGUAUUAGUGUUACCAUAUAAGUGGUUGUGAGAUCAACUACCCUCAUCAUUGAGCAUAUAUAGGACAUGCCAGUCUUAUCGGUAUCAUUGAUCUCCGACUCAAUAAACUAAUGACUGAGAAUAUUUUAGAUCAUGGCUAUCCAAAAUUUAGGUCUCGCUGAUGUGAUC